rnacentral:rRNA from 1 species
CCUACGGGCGGCAGCAGUGAGGAAUAUUGGUCAAUGGGCUUACGCCUGAACCAGCCAAGUCGCGUGAGGGAAGACUGCCCUAUGGGUUGUAAACCUCUUUUGUCAGGGAGCAAUUGGCGCUACGUGUAGCGUUAUCGAGAGUACCUGAAGAAAAAGCAUCGGCUAACUCCGUGCCAGCAGCCGCGGUAAUACGGAGGAUGCGAGCGUUAUCCGGUUUUAUUGGGUUAAAAGGGUGCGUAGGCGGAAUGCCAAGUCAGCGGGAAAAUGGCGGGGCUCAACCUCGCUCCGCCGUCGAAACUGGCGUUCUUGAGUGGGCGAGAAGUAUGCGGAAGGCGUGGUGUAGCGGUGAAAUGCAUAGAUAUCACGCAGAACUCCGAUUGCGAAGGCAGCAUACCGGCGCCCAACUGACGCUGAAGCACGAAAGCGUGGGUAUCGAACAGGAUUAGAUACCCUUGUAGUC